CUUCCAUAGGUACCGGUCCGCAGUUAGCACGUUGCGACCUGCCAGUUCAUCUCCAAUACUUCGAAGCCGAUCAACGUCGCCGCCUCUUCGUCUGCGUCGACAUACAAUAACUGGAGCAAUUUAUUGGGAGGAUAGAAAGUCCCCUUCCCUCUAAGCGGACAGGUAGACCCAAACCAUGCCAGGAAGAUGUCUCCCACAGCAUAAAAGAGCCACUGGACCCCCACACUGUAGCGGUCACACAUUCAGGCCUUCCAGCGUGAUGUCCUCCACCACAUUCGACUUACAAAGCUUUUGUCCAAACAUCUGCUGCAGCAUGGUUAUCAGGUACCUGUGGUGCUCCUUGCUCAUAGCGUAGUGGUGGUUGAAGUCCAAGAAGACCACCUC